rnacentral:rRNA from 1 species
AUUGAACGCUGGCGGCAGGCCUAACACAUGCAAGUCGAGCGAGCGGCGGACGCGUGAGUAAUGUCUGGGAAACUGCCUGAGGGAGGGGGAGAACUCCUGGAAACGGGAGCUAAUACCGCAUACCAUCAGAUGUGCCCAGAUGGGGGUAGCUAGUAGGUGGGGUGACGGCUCACCUAGGCGACGAGCCCUAGCUGGUCUGAGAGGAUGAUCAGUCACACUGGAACUGAGACACGGUGCAGACUCCGACGGGAGGCAGCAGUGGGGAAUAUUGCACAAUGGGCGCAAGCCUGAUGCAGCCAUGCCGCGUGUGUGAAGAAGGCCUUCGGGUUGUAAAGCACUUUCAGCGGGGAGGCGUUACCCGCAGAAGAAGCACCGGCUAACUCCGUGCCAGCCGCCGCGGUAAUUC